AUGGCGUACGCGGCGAGCACGCCGGCGGUGCCGGACUGGCUGAACAAGGGUGACAACGCGUGGCAGCUGACGGCGGCGACGUUCGUGGGCAUCCAGUCCAUGCCGGGCCUGGUGGUCCUCUACGGCAGCAUCGUGAAGAAGAAGUGGGCCGUCAACUCCGCCUUCAUGGCGCUCUACGCCUACGCCUCCUCGCUCCUGGUGUGGGUGCUGGUGGGGUUCCGCAUGGCGUUCGGCGAGCGGCUGCUGCCCUUCUGGGGCAAGGCGGGCGUGGCGCUGACGCAGGACUACCUCGUCGGCCGCGCCAAGCUGUCGGCGACGGAGCGGGGGAGCACGCCGCUCGUGGAGCCCUUCUACCCGGAGGCGACGCUGGUGAUGUUGCAGUUCGAGUUCGCCGCCAUCACGCUCAUCCUGCUGGCGGGCUCCGUGCUGGGGCGCAUGAACAUCAAGGCCUGGAUGGCCUUCACGCCGCUCUGGCUCAUGCUCUCCUACACCGUCGGCGCCUUCAGCCUCUGGGGCGGCGGCUUCCUUUACCACUAGGGCGUCAUCGACUACUCGGGCGGCUACGUCAUCCACCUCUCCUCCGGCAUCGCCGGCUUCACCGCCGCCUACUGGGUGGGCCCGAGGCUGAAGAGCGACCGGGAGCGGUUCUCCCCGAACAACAUCCUGCUCAUGAUCGCCGGCGGCGGGCUGCUGUGGAUGGGGUGGGCCGGGUUCAACGGCGGCGCGCCCUACGCCGCCAACAUCACGGCGUCCGUGGCCGUGCUCAACACCAACGUCAGCGCGGCGACCAGCCUCCUCACCUGGACCUGCCUCGACGUCAUCUUCUUCGGCAAGCCGUCCGUCAUCGGCGCCGUCCAGGGCAUGAUGACCGGCCUCGUCUGCAUCACCCCCGGCGCAGGGCUGGUGCAGACGUGGGCGGCCGUGGUCAUGGGCAUCUUCGCCGGCAGCGUGCCGUGGUUCACCAUGAUGAUCCUGCACAAGAAGUCGGCGCUGCUGAUGAAGGUGGACGACACCCUGGCCGUCUUCCACACGCACGCCGUGGCGGGGCUCCUCGGCGGCAUCCUCACGGGGCUCCUGGCCACACCGGAGCUGAUGACGAUGGAGUCCUCGGUGCCGGGGCCCAAGGGCGCCUUCUACGGCGGCGGCAUCAAGCAGGUGGGCAAGCAGCUGGCCGGCGCGGCGUUCGUGAUCGUGUGGAACCUCGUGGUCACCACGCUCAUCCUGCUCGGCAUCGGGCUGUUCGUGCCGCUCCGGAUGCCCGACGACCAGCUCAUGAUCGGCGACGACGCCGCGCACGGGGAGGAGGCCUACGCGCUGUGGGGCGACGGCGAGAAGUUCGACGCCACGCGGCACGACGUGUCCAGGGGCGCCGGCGGCGAGAGGGAGAUGGGCACCGCGGAGCAGCGGCUCGCCGGCAUGGGAGCCAGGGGCGUCACCAUCCAGUUGUAG
rnacentral:rRNA from 1 species